GACGAACGCUGGCGGCGUGCUUAACACAUGCAAGUCGAACGGAAAGGCCCUGCUUUUGUGGGGUGCUCGAGUGGCGAACGGGUGAGUAACACGUGAGUAACCUGCCCUUGACUUUGGGAUAACUUCAGGAAACUGGGGCUAAUACCGGAUAGGAGCUCCUGCUGCAUGGUGGGGGUUGGAAAGUUUCGGCGGUUGGGGAUGGACUCGCGGCUUAUCAGCUUGUUGGUGGGGUAGUGGCUUACCAAGGCUUUGACGGGUAGCCGGCCUGAGAGGGUGACCGGCCACAUUGGGGAUGGGAUACGGCCCAGACUCCUACGGGGGGCAGAGGUGGGGAAUAUUGCACAAUGGGGGGAAGGCUGAUGCAGCAACGCCGGGGGGGGGAUGGCGGCCUUCGGGGUGUAAAACGCUUUCCCCUGUGACGAAGGGUGAGUGACGGGAAGGGGUAAAGAAGCACCGGCUAAAUACG
rnacentral:rRNA from 1 species